AGGCCUUCGGGUCGUAAAGUUCUUUCGCCAGGGAAUAAGGGAUAUAGGAUAAUACCCUAUAAACUUGAAGGUACCUGGUAAAGAAGCACCGGCUAACUCCGUGCCAGCAGCUGCGGUAAUACGGAGGGUGCAAGCAUUAAUCGGAUUUAUUGGGCGUAAAGGGCGCGUAGGCGGAAUGGAAAGUCAGAUGUGAAAUCCCGGGGCUCAACCUCGGAAUUGCAUUUGAAACUCUCAUUCUUGAGGAUAGGCGGGGAAAACGGAAUUCCACAAGUAGCGGUGAAAUGCGUAGAUAUGUGGAAGAACACCGGUGGCGAAGGCGGUUUUCUAGCUUAUUCCUGACGCUGAGGCGCGAAAGCAGGGGGAGCGAACAGGAUUAGAUACCCUGGUAGUCCUUGCCGUAAACGAUGCAUACUUGGUGUAGUUGGACUCAACCCCGACUUUGCCGAAGCUAACGCGUUAAGUAUGCCGCCUGGGGAGUACGCUCGCAAGGGUGAAACUCAAAAGAAUUGACGGGGACCCGCACAAGCAGUGGAGCAUGUGGUUUAAUUCGAUGCAACGCGAAGAACCUUACCUAGGCUUGACAUGCAGUGGACCGCUUCAGAGAUGAAGUUUUUCUUCGGAACCGCUGUGCAGGUGCUGCAUGGCUGUCGUCAGCUCGUGCCGUGAGGUGUUGGGUUAAGUCCCGCAACGAGCGCAACCCUUAUCGUUAGUUGCCAGCAU
rnacentral:rRNA from 1 species